rnacentral:rRNA from 1 species
ACGACACCUCUCACGAAGAUAGCGGGAUCCCGAGUAGGGCGGGACACGAGAAAUCCUGCCUGAAUUCGCCAGGACCGCCUGGCAAGGCUAAAUACUCCCGAGAGACCGAUAGUGAACCAGUACCGCGAGGGAAAGGUGAAAAGUACCCCGAGCAGGGGGGUGAAAUAGACCCUGAACCCGCGCGCCUACAAGCGGUCGGAGCCAUGAAAUAUGGUGACGGCGUGCCUUUUGCAUAAUGAGCCUACGAGUUAGUCGUCACCAGCGAGGUUAAGGGCUUCAGGCCCGUUAGCCGAAGUGAAAGCGAGCCUUAACAGGGCGUUCAGUUGGUGGCGCUAGACGCGAAACCUUGUGAUCUACCCACGAGCAGGUUGAAGUCGCGGUAACACGUGAUGGAGGACCGAACCGGUAAACGUUGAAAAGUUUUCGGAUGACUCGCGGGUAGGGGUGAAAGGCCAAUCAAACUGGGAAAUAGCUCGUACUCUCCGAAAUGCAUUUCGGUGCAGCCUGUGAUGUUCUGUUCCAGAGGUAGAGCUACUGGUUGGACGCGAGGGCUUCACCGCCUAUCAAAUCCGGAUAAACUCCGAAUGCUGGAACACGAAAUCAUGGAGUGAGCCCGCGGGUGCUAAGGUCCGCGGACGAGAGGGAAAGAACCCGGACCACCGGCUAAGGUCCCGGAUGGACAGUUAAGUUGAUCAAACGAGGUGGGAUCGCGGAGACAGCUAGGAUGUUGGCUUGGAAGCAGCCAUUCAUUUAAAGAGUGCGUAACAGCUCACUAGUCGAGCGAUCCCGCGUGGAUAAUACACGGGCAUCAAACUGUCAACCGAAGCCGUGGGGUUAGUUAAUGACUGACCGGUAGGAGAGCAUUCCUGCCAGCUUUGAAGGUCACCCGCGAGAGUGACUGGAGCGGCAUGAAAAGCAAAUGUAGGCAUAAGUAACGAUAAUGGGGGCGAGAACCCCCCACGCCGCAAGACCAAGGAUUCCCCGGCAAUGUCAAUCAGCCGGGGGUCAGCCGGCCUCUAAGGCUCACCCGAAGGGGGAUGCCGACGAGAAACGGGUUAACAUUCCCGUGCUUCUCGUCACCGUGACGCGGUGACGGGGUGAUGAAUGGACCGCGCGCUGACGGAAUAGCGCGUUGAAGGCCGUACCCUGUGACGGUGGUAGUCAAGCACGCCACCGGAGGCGAAAGUCGAUAGUACCUCGAGGCCUCGGCCGAGGGGAUAGCGUCCAGGCAAUUUACCCCCUAGAAAACCCGCUAAACUUCAAGUGACGAGGAACCGUACUGUAAACGGACACACGUGGUCGGGUAGAAUAUACCAAGGCGCUCGAGUGAUUCAUGGUCAAGGAACUAGGCAAAAUAGUCCUGUAACUUCGGGAAAAAGGACGCUCUAGUGAUAGAGCCGCAGAGUAAUGGCCCAGGCGACUGUUUACCAAAAACACAUGGCUAUGCCAAAUCGAAAGAUGACGUAUAUGGCCUGACACCUGCCCGGUGCCGGAAGGUUAAGAGGAGAGCUCAUCCGCGAGGAGAAGGUUUGAAUUGAAGCCCCGGUAAACGGCGGCCGUAACUAUAACGGUCCUAAGGUAGCGAAAUUCCUUGUCGGGUAAGUUCCGACCUGCACGAAUGGUGUAACGAUCUGGGCACUGUCUCGACCAUGAGCUCGGUGAAAUUGUAGUUCCGGUGAAGAUGCCGGGUACCCGCGACGGGACGGAAAGACCCCGUGAACCUUUACUGCAGCUUCGCGUUGAGUUUCCCGGGCACGGGACGUGUAGGAUAGGUCGGAGGCUACGAGUCGGUUUCGCCAGGAUUCGUGGAGCCAUCGUUGAAAUACGACCCUUCUCUUGUCUGGGAUCUAACCCUUUGUAUAGGGGACACCGCGUGGUGGGUAGUUUGACUGGGGUGGUCGCCUCCAAAAGCGUAACGGAGGCUUCCAAAGGUACCCUCGGGUUGGUUGGUAAUCAACCGUAGAGUGCAAUGGCACAAGGGUGCUUGACCGGGAGACCAACGAGUCGAUCGGGUGCGAAAGCAGGGCAUAGUGAUCCGGUGAUCCCGCGUGGAAGGGUCAUCGCUCAAAGGAUAAAAGGUACUCCGGGGAUAACAGGCUGA